rnacentral:rRNA from 1 species
ACGAACGCUGGCGGCGUGCUUAACACAUGCCAGUCGAACGGAAAGGCCCUGCUUGCAGGGUACUCGAGUGGCGAACGGGUGAGUAACACGGGGGUGAUCUGCCCUGCACUUCGGGAUAAGCUUGGGAAACUGGGUCUAAUACCGGAUAGGAGCCAUCUUUAGUGUGGUGGUUGGAAAGUUUUUUCGGUGUAGGAUGAGCUCGCGGCCUAUCAGCUUGUUGGUGGGGUAAUGGCCUACCAAGGCGGCGACGGGUAGCCGGCCUGAGAGGGUGUACGGCCACAUUGGGACUGAGAUACGGCCCAGACUCCUACGGGAGGCAGCAGUGGGGAAUAUUGCACAAUGGGCGCAAGCCUGAUGCAGCGACGCCGCGUGGGGGAUGAAGGCCUUCGGGUUGUAAACUCCUUUCGCUAGGGACGAAGCUUUUUUGUGACGGUACCUAGAUAAGAAGCACCGGCUGACUACGUG